rnacentral:lncRNA from 1 species
CCCCCACACCUAUUUCAAACCGCCAAUUCGACUUUCCAUGCAGAUGAAGACUGUAAUGGCAUCCACAACUAACAACCUUAAUUUGAAGAUUCGUGGAUGGAUUUUCCUCCCUACUAAAUAACAAAAAUGUGGUCCAAUGGCCUAAAAAAUCAAGCCUAAUAACUUACAGAUUCUGGCUAACAAUCUACGGCUCAACCUCCUUAUAACAGAUGUAUGAAGGGGAUCCUAAGAUAAGCAAGCUCAAUGGGGAGGAAAAGGAGACAAAAACUCCGCUCUCCUGCACUAUUUAUCUCUUCUCUUCUAUUUUCAAGCUUUGGCUAACUUAGGUAUCGAAGAAUCCUCUACUAGAACACCUCCGACAUAUAUAGACUUCUCUUAUAGGUUCUCUUCAACUUCUCAACUCCUAGGUGGCAUCCUACUCCAGGCAUGUCAACAUCUGGCUAGAGUCUUACAGCAACAAAUGGAUGCUAAAGGAAGGACCUAGUCUCCUUUGAGAAGAGAGAGAAAAUGGUAUGGAUGAGAGCACAUAACUCCAUCGCCUCCCAUCGAUAAUCCAUCC